CCGUUGAAUGGGGGACAACCGUGGGAACCUACGGCUAAUACCGCAUGAUGCCUGAGGGCCAAAGCGAAAGUCGUUUGAGGAGGAGCCUGCGUCUGAUUAGGUAGUUGGUGGGGUAAAGCCUACCAAGCCCUACGAUCAGUAGCUGGUCUGAGNGGGAUGAUCAGCCACAUUGGGACUGAGACACGGCCCAAACUCCUACGGGAGGCAGCAUGGGGAAUAUUGGACAAUGGGCGCAAGCCUGAUCCAGCAAUGCCGCGUGGGUGAAGAAGGUCUUCGGAUUGUAAAGCCCUUUUGGCGGGGACGAUGAUGACGGUACCCGCAGAAUAAGCUCCGGCUAACUUCGUG
rnacentral:rRNA from 1 species